rnacentral:rRNA from 1 species
AUUGAACGCUGGCGGCAUGCUUUACACAUGCAAGUCGAACGGUAACAGGCCGCAAGGUGCUGACGAGUGGCGAACGGGUGAGUAAUGCAUCGGAACGUGCCCAGUCGUGGGGGAUAACGCAGCGAAAGCUGUGCUAAUACCGCAUACGAUCUAUGGAUGAAAGCGGGGGACCGUAAGGCCUCGCGCGAUUGGAGCGGCCGAUGUCAGAUUAGGUAGUUGGUGGGGUAAAGGCCUACCAAGCCGACGAUCUGUAGCUGGUCUGAGAGGACGACCGGCCACACUGGGACUGAGACACGGCCCAGACUCCUACGGGAGGCAGCAGUGGGGAAUUUUGGACAAUGGGCGCAAGCCUGAUCCAGCAAUGCCGCGUGCAGGAAGAGGGCCUUCGGGUUGUAAACUGCUUUUGUACGGAACGAAACGGCCUGGGUUAAUACCCUGGGUUAAUGACGGUACCGUAAGAAUAAGCACCGGCUAACUACGUGCCAGCAGCCGCAGUAAAAC